rnacentral:rRNA from 1 species
GACGUAGGGCGCGAGCGUUGUCCGGAUUUAUUGGGCGUAAAGAGCUCGUAGGCGGCUUGUCGCGUCGUCCGUGAAAACCUGUGGCUCAACUGCAGGCUUGCGGUCGAUACGGGCAGGCUGGAGUUCGGUAGGGGAGACUGGAAUUCCUGGUGUAGCGGUGAAAUGCGCAGAUAUCAGGAGGAACACCGGUGGCGAAGGCGGGUCUCUGGGCCACUACUGACGCUGAGAAGCGAAAGCAUGGGGAGCGAACAGG